AUACGUAGGGUGCGAGCGUUUUCCGGAAUUACUGGGCGUAAAGAGCUCGUAGGUGGUUUGUCGCGUCGUCUGUGAAAUUCCGGGGCUUAACUCCGGGCGUGCAGGCGAUACGGGCAGAACUUGAGUACUGUAGGGGAGACUGGAAUUCCUGGUGUAGCGGUGAAAUGCGCAGAUAUCAGGAGGAACACCGGUGGCGAAGGCGGGUCUCUGGGCAGUAACUGACGCUGAGGAGCGAAAGCAUGGGUAGCGAACAGGAUUAGAUACCCUGGUAGUCCAUGCCGUAAACGGUGGGCGCUAGGUGUAGGGGUCUUCCACGACUUCUGUGCCGUAGCUAACGCAUUAAGCGCCCCGCCUGGGGAGUACGGCCGCAAGGCUAAAACUCAAAUGAAUUGACGGGG
rnacentral:rRNA from 1 species